rnacentral:misc_RNA from 1 species
CUGGAACUGUGUCCUCACGGGCACAACCCCAGAUACCCUUUGUGAACUUAUACCCAUUUAUCGUUGCCUCGGCGCCGAGCCGGGAGUCAGCUACUCCUCUGGAGCAGCUGCGCUCCCCCAAUACCGCGCAAGCGGUCUUGGAGCAGGCCCGCCGGCGGCCCAACCAAACUCUUUGUUUUUAGAACGUAUCUCUUCUGAGUUUUUAAACAAACAAAUGAAUCA